CUGCCCAGUGACAAAGUUAAACGGCCGCGGUACCCUAACCGUGCGAAGGUAGCGCAAUCACUUGUUCUUUAAAUGAGGACUAGUAUGAAUGGCAUCACGAGGGUUAUACUGUCUCCCCCUUUUAAUCAGUGAAACUGAUCUUCCCGUGAAGAAGCGGGAAUAAAUCUAUAAGACGAGAAGACCCCAUGGAGCUUAAAACUCAGUACCAACUGCCUUACCAUAUGCCCCUUAAACCAGCAGACAUGACUACUAGUUUUCGGUUGGGGUGACCGCGGAGCAAAAUAAAACCUCCACGAUGAAAGGAAUUAACCUCCUAAUCAAAGAACUACACUUCUAAGAAUCAACAAAUUGACAUUUAUUGAUCCAAUUUUUUUGAUCAACGAACCAAGUUACCCUGGGGAUAACAGCGCAAUCCAUUUCAAGAGCCCCUAUCGACAAAUGGGUUUACGACCUCGAUGUUGGAUCAGGGUAUCCCAGUGGUGCAGCCGCUACUAAAGGUUCGUUUGUUCAACGAUUAAAACCCU
rnacentral:rRNA from 1 species